GUUGGAUUGCGGUACGUUUGGGUCCGUAUACCUAGCAAAAUACACUGGAAAACCAGAAAAAGUGGUUGCCAAAAAGAAUAAUGUCGAGUCCAUUGACUCGAAAUCCUGUUUCGUGAAAGAAGCCUCACUGUUGAACAGUACAAAAGGCAACAGGAACAUAAUCCGGUUCUUUGAAUUUUCAAUAAUGAUGGAGUAUUCUUGUAUAUGAUGUAUGACAUACUUUAUGCCAAAGAAUGCAAGCCAAAAAGCUUCGGCAAACUCAUCUUCAUUAAGGGAAUAAGGGAUGUGCUACUGUAGUGUUGAUUUGAAACUAAUAUGUUUCCUGCCGGCAUUCCAUUUGGCACAUGUUGGCAGCAAGUCUGCGAAGGAGUCAAAGUCAAACUCGUCGUCUACGAAAUGGACAAAAUCUUCUGGAGUGCAAAGACUUUUUGCAACUCCAGACGGGCGAAAAUCGAAGCAAGAAUACUCCAUGCAUCAUCAUUGAAAAUUCAAGGAACCGGAUUAUGUUCCUGUGGCCUUUUGUACCGUUCAACAGUGCGGUUUUUACUAAUAGAGUCCAGUACAGUUUAAUAAAAACCUCUCCCUUGGCUUUUAACCUUCAUAUAAUAGUGGAGCUAAUUAACUAAACUCAUUGACUGUUCAGUCGUUGAUGUACAUUGUUUAUUGCAAGCAGUUAUUCUGAUCCAUUCCUCAAGAAUUUAACUUCACAACGGCAGAGUUUGGCAAAGUAGUGCCAGUAGAGUUUAGUCGAAUCCUUCACAUCAAGGCUGUAGUUUUAGUUGUUUUAAGAUAUAACGAGAUUACGCAUUAUCUUGAUGCAUGUUGCAUUAGAUUGAUGAAUGAGAUUUAAGCUUUCGUAAAUACUGUGAUAUUAAACCACCAUAGACAGCAAAGAAACAGGAAUGUUUGAUAUUUAAUCCAUGCAAUUUAAAAAGCACCACCGAUUUCCUGUCGAGUUUCAAUGCAUAUUUCUGUUGCUGUACUUCGCCUCGUUGGUUCAUUUCUUGUUCCGCUUUUACAACGCGUACUUGAAUUGAAGUCUUCCUCAAUUAAAGAAGAUGUUUUCAAAGUAUUUUCAUUUUGUAAUACUGACUGUGAUUUUCGUGUUACUCCAAGGUACGUUUUCUCUCAUUUAUAACAUGCAUUUAUAUUUCAUGCGCUUUCAAACACGCAGUCACUUCCGUGCUGAAUCUAUAACCUCGAAUCUCGAUCAUCAUGAACUAGUGGCAUGAUAUGAAUCUAAACAAGACGCUUUACGGAGCAUUAAU